rnacentral:rRNA from 1 species
CAGUCGCCACGGGAAUACGUAGGUGGCAAGCGCUGUCCGGAAUUAUUGGGCGUAAAGGGUGCGUAGGCGGCUUGACAAGUCUUGUGUGAAAUCUAUGGGCUCAACCCAUAGUCUGCACGGGAAACUGUCGGGCUUGAGAAUGGGAGAGGUGAGUGGAAUUUCCGGUGUAGCGGUGAAAUGCGUAGAUAUCGGAAGGAACACCUGUGGCGAAAGCGGCUCACUGGACCAUUUCUGACGCUGAUGCACGAAAGCUAGGGGAGCAAACAGGAUUAGAUACCCCAGUAGUCCCUGUCUCUUAUAC